rnacentral:lncRNA from 1 species
UCUUUUCAGAGCAUCACUGUGUUUCUUACCUGUUUCCAUUUGCUCAUCAUUUCACACCAAGUAAAUUCCUUUUCACUUGCAUCUCCACGUAUGCUUUUCCUCAUCACAGGACACAUGGACCUCUUGACGCACAGCAGCGUUCAGCAGAGUGCGUGCAGAAGGAAAGCUCAGAGUUGCAGCAGGAGGAACGGGCUCAUAGGCAGAUUGCACAAUGCUCGUGAGGUCAAAAGGAUGUGAGCUGAGAGGUAUCGCAGCCAAACUGUAGGGCAGGGACAGGAAUGUGCUGAGAUGCUGAGCACCGCUCUGGGAAAAGAAGCAGGUUGGAGCAGAGCUGGGCUCCACGGUUUGGGGCAGGCCUGGGAAAUGUUUUUGCUCUGCCUCUCCCCCCGAACUGUAAAUGAUUCUUAUCCAUCAUUAUUAUGUCACUGUGCAUGGGGAUGGCCUAAGGGCUCUGCAGAGGUCAGCAAGCUGAUCUAUAAAAAGGCACCCAACAAUCAGCUGACUUUGUUGUGCACAGAAAAGGAAUGGGAGCUUUGUGCAAGGGGAAACUGGAUGGACAUCACAAGAGAUGAGCAUCUUUGCCUUGGCUCUGCGUAGGAGCGGUUGGUCUCCUGGUAGCACAGGCUGUUGUGUUGGUCCCUGUUCUUCCUCCUCAACCUGACUGAGCAAGUCUGCCUCCAAGCACUCAGCCCAGCCUGCAGCAUGCAUCCAUCCAUCCAUCCAUCGCAGCCUGGGAACCCACUCUCAGCCUGCUUAACUGGUUUUAUUUCUUUUUCUAAUAGAAAACAUUUUUUUUCUCUCCUUUUAAGCUUUCUGAAAGAAAAUACCUGCAUUGUCUGAAAAUAGUUCAUUUCCCCCUGAAAAUAUCCCUCCUCCCAUAAUAAACCUACAGUUUUGAUUUAAAGCUACCUGCA